rnacentral:rRNA from 1 species
AUAAGACGAGAAGACCCUAUGGAGCUUAAGACACCAAGGCAUAUCAUGUUAAACACCCCAAGAUAAAGGACUGAACUGAGUGAAUUAUGCCCCUAUGUCUUUGGUUGGGGCGACCACGG